GGGGAUGUAGCUCAGUUGGGAGAGCACCGGCUUUGCAAGCCGGGGGUCAGGGGUUCGAGUCCCCUCAUCUCCA
rnacentral:tRNA from 1 species